rfam:Gossypium hirsutum cultivar TM-1 chromosome 11, whole genome shotgun sequence
AAGCCAUGGUGAAGGCACCUUCUCAAUAAAUCCUUAUACCUCUCCCAUGCAUGAUAUAGGGUCUCUAAGUCCAUUUGCACAAAGGAAGAGAUAUCACUCUACAACUU